rnacentral:misc_RNA from 1 species
UCUCCGUUGGUGAACCAGCGGAGGGAUCAUUACCGAGUUUACAACUCCCAAACCCAAUGUGAACCAUACCAAACUGUUGCCUCGGCGGGGUCGCGCCCCGGGUGCGUCGCAGCCCCGGAACCAGGCGCCCGCCGGAGGGACCAACCAAACUCUUUCUGUAGUCCCCUCGCGGACGUUAUUUCUUACAGCUCUGAGCAAAAAUUCAAAAUGAAUCAAAACUUUCAACAACGGAUCUCUUGGUUCUG